CUAUAUCUUUUCAAAUGACUAUUGCUAUCAUUUUAAAAUAGACAACUUUAAGGUUUAAGGCUUUAGCAAUAUUUUUAAAUUUGAUAAUUUAAAUAUAUUUUCCCGUGAUAGGUGUGUCGCAAGAUAAUAAUAUUUAAUUAAGCUCAGAUUAUUGUGAUGAUUUCAUUGGAAUUCUGGAUAAAAUUAUCUCUCAGAAUCAUAUCGUUGAGUUCAUUAUCGAUUAUUCACCAUACAAAACACCAAAAGCGCAUGCGUUUAUCAUUUCUGAUCGAAUAAACUCCAAUUUCUCCGGGUUUUUUAACGCAACAAAGCAAAAUGUUCAAAUUAAACGAGAAAACGUGUGAUAAAAUUUUCGUAGUUGUAUACAUAGUGUGUUUUUGUACUGUGUCUAUUUAUAUGUAUUCUGGAAAAUCUAAUAAUGAAAUAUUAAAUGAAAAUAUUAAUGAAAACGAAGAAGUUGAAGAGAAAAAUGUAAUAAAUGCAGAAAUAAAUCAAGAAUCAAAAAAGAUAGAUGAAGAUUUUACAUUAAACUCGUGGAAACAUUUUUUGAAUGAAUAUAUCGGGAAUAAAACUAAAUGCUAUUUUUCUAAAGAAUUUGAUGAAAAACCAAAGUCGUCAGAAGAAAAUGAAACUGUUAUUCAUAUUUCGAUUUUGUUGCUUCAAACGUCUUUAAUUUGGACUAUUGUUGAUUUUGUCGAUAGAUACAUGAAACGAGGGAAGAAAAAAAUAGAAAAGCCACCGUUGCAUCGAACCUGUUCUUUAGCUGAUAUGACUUUAAUGAGACAUCAAAGACGUGAAUCGAUGAGGAAGGAUCUUUCAUUGGAUGCAAGGUUUCCAUCGAGAAUGAUUGGUAGGAGUUCAAAAACAGAAUUGUGCGCGAUUUAUAAAUAAAAUAAUAAAACUGAUAAGUUUCCGAAAAUAUUAAUCGUCGAUGUUCCCUUCCUUUGGGUGGCCCUAAAGAUCAGCACAAGAUAAGAAAAGAUUCCAUUGACGUCACCGGUUCAUUACGCAGAAGGAUGACUAUUAACAGUAUUGUCGAAACGCCUCAAGAGUUGGAACAUAAAAGAAGUCAUGUGAGACUUUUACACAGACAUUAAAUUCAAAAUUUAAAGGCAAAAUUUAUCAAAACGAACAUUAAACACUUUGAGAUGCGCACAACGACUAAAAACUUACUAAAGGAAUUCUCAAGAUUUUAAGACCAAUUUUAUUGCAUCGUGCAAAGAGCUAUCGAAGAUUUUUAAAACAUUUUGAAACAUUGUCAAAAAGUUGAAGAUCCUAUUUUUGUAAAACCGUACUACAUAUUACAAAUUUAAUGGUUAUCUGUAAAUUUGACGUCUCACAUGGAUUAAAUAUUUAAUUUUGUUAAGAAAUGUAUUUAAAUAACAAUAAAUGUGGAGAUAAUAA